GCCCAGCUAGCUCAGUCAGUAGAGCAUAAGACUCUUAAUCUCAGGGCCAUGGGUUCAAGCCCCAUAUUGGGUG
rnacentral:tRNA from 2 species